UGGGGAAUAUAGCACAAUGGGCGCAAGCCUGAUGCAGCCAUGCCGCGUGUAUGAAGAAGGCCUUCGGGUUGUAAAGUACUUUCAGCGAGGAGGAAGGCGGUAAGGUUAAUAACCUUAUCGAUUGACGUUACUCGCAGAAGAAGCACCGGCUAACUCCGUGCCAGCAGCCGCGGGAAUACGGAGGGUGCAAGCGUUAAUCGGAAUUACUGGGCGUAAAGCGCACGCAGGCGGUCUGUCAAGUCGGAUGUGAAAUCCCCGGGCUCAACCUGGGAACUGCAUUCGAAACUGGCAGGCUAGAGUCUUGUAGAGGGGGGUAGAAUUCCAGGUGUAGCGGUGAAAUGCGUAGAGAUCUGGAGGAAUACCGGUGGCCAAGGCGGCCCCCUGGACAAAGACUGACGCUCAGGUGCGAAAGCGUGGGGAGCAAACA
rnacentral:rRNA from 1 species